rnacentral:rRNA from 1 species
GAUGAACGCUGGCGGCGUGCCUAAUACAUGCCAGUCGAGCGAACGGACGAGAAGCUUUCUUCUCUGAUGUUAGCGGCGGACGGGUGAGUAACACGUGGAUAACCUACCUAUAAGACUGGGAUAACUUCGGGAAACCGUAGCUAAUACCGGAUAAUAUUUUGAACCGCAUGGUUCAAAAGUGAAAGACGGUCUUGCUGUCACUUAUAGAUGGAUCCGCGCUGCAUUAGCUAGUUGGUAAGGUAACGGCUUACCAAGGCAACGAUGCAUAGCCGACCUGAGAGGGUGAUCGGCCACACUGGAACUGAGACACGGUCCAGACUCCUACGGGAGGCAGCAGUAGGGAAUCUUCCGCAAUGGGCGAAAGCCUGACGGAGCAACGCCGCGUGAGUGAUGAAGGUCUUCGGAUCGUAAAACUCUGUUAUUAGGGAAGAACAUAUGUGUAAGUAACUGUGCACAUCUUGACGGUACCUAAUCAGAAAGCCACGGCUAACUACGUG